AUUGAACGCUGGCGGCAUGCCUUACACAUGCAAGUCGAACGGCAGCACGGGAGCUUGCUCCUGGUGGCGAGUGGCGAACGGGUGAGUAAUAUAUCGGAACGUACCCUAGAGUGGGGGAUAACGUAGCGAAAGUUACGCUAAUACCGCAUACGAUCUACGGAUGAAAGUGGGGGAUCGCAAGACCUCAUGCUCAUGGAGUGGCCGAUAUCUGAUUAGCUAGUUGGUGGGGUAAAAGCCUACCAAGGCGACGAUCAGUAGCUGGUCUGAGAGGACGACCAGCCACACUGGAACUGAGACACGGUCCAGACCCCUACGGGAGGCAGCAGUGGGGAAUUUUGGACAAUGGGCGAAAGCCUGAUCCAGCAAUGCCGCGUGCAGGAUGAAGGCCUUCGGGUUGUAAACUGCUUUUGUACGGAACGAAAAGACUCCUUCUAAUACAGGGGGUCCAUGACGGUACCGUAAGAAUAAGCACCGGCUAACUACGUGCCAGCCGCCGCCGUAAGAC
rnacentral:rRNA from 1 species